AGGAAUCAUAUUAAUGUGGCUCUAACACCAUCAUUCCAGCUGAUCAGCCAUGUCACUGUGAUAAUGCAAGGAGUUUGUUUUGGAAGACUUAAAAGCUUUUCUGACAGAAAGGCUUCCUUCUGCCAGAGAGGGCUGUCAUCCUGCGGAGGGAAAGAUUGUUCACAAAUGGAAAACAUUCAAGACAGUUGCCAAACUUUCCAGGAUUGGACGUCCCAACAAAUUCAACUCAAGGUCACAUUGUGCAGUGCUCAGAGAAACUGCAGUUAACUCAAGAGCUACAUCUCUGACUCUGUUAGCAUGCUAAAUGUGAAAGUUCAUGAGAGUGCAGUUAGAAACGCACUCAACAAGUACUGCACGACUUGUCUGGAUGGAAGCCUCUUUUCUCUUUAACAAGAACAUGACAGCACGGAUUAGGUUUGCAAAGUUGCACCUGAAUAAAACAAAAAAGACUUCUGGAACAAUGUCCUUAGGAUACAUGAGACCAGAGUGGAACUGUUUGGGUAUAUCACACAGCACUGCAUUUAGAGAAAACCCGAACACAGCAUAUCAGCAGAAACACCUCAUACCAGCUGUUAAGCAUGGUUGUAGAAUGGUGAUGAAUAGUGCUGGCUGUGCAACCACAGGGGAUUAUUAAA